AAAACUCUAAGCGGUGGAUCACUCGGCUCAUGGGUCGAUGAAGAACGCAGCAAACUGUGCGUCAUCGUGUGAACUGCAGGACACAUGAACAUCGACAUUUUGAACGCAUAUCGCAGUCCAUGCUGUUAUGUACUUUAAUUAAUUUUAUAGUGCUGCUUGGACUACAUAUGGUUGAGGGUUGUAAGACUAUGCUAAUUAAGUUGCUUAUAAAUUUUUAUAAGCAUAUGGUAUAUUAUUGGAUAAAUAUAAUAAUUUUUAUUCAUAAUAUUAAAAAAUAAAUGAAAAACAUUAUCUCACAUUUGAAUGUGAAAAACGAAGAGAAAUAUUUUCUUUUUCAAUCAAAUAAUACUGAGAAAUGUCUAGCAUAAAAAAUUGAAAUAUUUUUCAUCUAGAAUUGUCUCUUAUUAAUGAUUCGGAAAUAGAAAAAUCUUGGUUAUGUUAUUAUUCUUCGUUGGUUCGUUAAAAAUGGAUAAAUAAAAACUUUGCAUACAAGAAUUAAUAAAAAUGUUAUAACGAAUUUAAUUAAAUGUUUUAUCAUUAUAUAUAAAGAAUUUAUGGCAAGAUAAAGUUAUAUACAACCUCAACUCAUAUGGGACUACCCCCUGAAUUUAAGCAUAUUAAUUAGGGGAGGAAAAGAAACUAACAAGGAUUUUCUUAGUAGCGGCGAGCGAAAAGAAAACAGUUCAGCACUAAGUCACUUUGUCUAUAUGGCAAAUGUGAGAUGCAGUGUAUGGAGCGUCAAUAUUCUAGUAUGAGAAAUUAACGAUUUAAGUCCUUCUUAAAUGAGGCCAUUUACCCAUAGAGGGUGCCAGGCCCGUAUAACGUUAAUGAUUACUAGAUGAUGUUUCCAAAGAGUCGUGUUGCUUGAUAGUGCAGCACUAAGUGGGUGGUAAACUCCAUCUAAAACUAAAUAUAACCAUGAGACCGAUAGUAAACAAGUACCGUGAGGGAAAGUUGAAAAGAACUCUGAAUAGAGAGUUAAACAGUACGUGAAACUGCUUAGAGGUUAAGCCCGAUGAACCUGAAUAUCCGUUAUGGAAAAUUCAUCAUUAAAAUUGUAAUAUUUAAAUAAUAUUAUGAGAAUAGUGUGCAUUUUUUCCAUAUAAGGACAUUGUAAUCUAUUAGCAUAUACCAAAUUUAUCAUAAAAUAUAACUUAUAGUUUAUUCCAAUUAAAUUGCUUGCAUUUUAACACAGAAUAAAUGUUAUUAAUUUGAUAAAGUGCUGAUAGAUUUAUAUGAUUACAGUGCGUUAAUUUUUCGGAAUUAUAUAAUGGCAUAAUUAUCAUUGAUUUUUGUGUUUAUUAUAUGCACUUGUAUGAUUAACAAUGCGAAAGAUUCAGGAUACCUUCGGGACCCGUCUUGAAACACGGACCAAGGAGUCUAACAUAUGUGCAAGUUAUUGGGAUAUAAACCUAAUAGCGUAAUUAACUUGACUAAUAAUGGGAUUAGUUUUUUAGCUAUUUAUAGCUAAUUAACACAAUCCCGGGGCGUUCUAUAUAGUUAUGUAUAAUGUAUAUUUAUAUUAUUUAUGCCUCUAACUGGAACGUACCUUGAGCAUAUAUGCUGUGACCCGAAAGAUGGUGAACUAUACUUGAUCAGGUUGAAGUCAGGGGAAACCCUGAUGGAAGACCGAAACAGUUCUGACGUGCAAAUCGAUUGUCAGAAUUGAGUAUAGGGGCGAAAGACCAAUCGAACCAUCUAGUAGCUGGUUCCUUCCGAAGUUUCCCUCAGGAUAGCUGGUGCAUUUUAAUAUUAUAUAAAAUAAUCUUAUCUGGUAAAGCGAAUGAUUAGAGGCCUUAGGGUCGAAACGAUCUUAACCUAUUCUCAAACUUUAAAUGGGUAAGAACCUUAACUUUCUUGAUAUGAAGUUCAAGGUUAUGAUAUAAUGUGCCCAGUGGGCCACUUUUGGUAAGCAGAACUGGCGCUGUGGGAUGAACCAAACGUAAUGUUACGGUGCCCAAAUUAACAACUCAUGCAGAUACCAUGAAAGGCGUUGGUUGCUUAAAACAGCAGGACGGUGAUCAUGGAAGUCGAAAUCCGCUAAGGAGUGUGUAACAACUCACCUGCCGAAGCAACUAGCCCUUAAAAUGGAUGGCGCUUAAGUUGUAUACCUAUACAUUACCGCUAAAGUAGAUGAUUUAUAUUACUUGUGAUAUAAAUUUUGAAACUUUAGUGAGUAGGAAGGUACAAUGGUAUGCGUAGAAGUGUUUGGCGUAAGCCUGCAUGGAGCUGCCAUUGGUACAGAUCUUGGUGGUAGUAGCAAAUAAUCGAAUGAGACCUUGGAGGACUGAAGUGGAGAAGGGUUUCGUGUGAACAGUGGUUGAUCACGAGUUAGUCGGUCCUAAGUUCAAGGCGAAAGCCGAAAAUUUUCAAGUAAAACAAAAAUGCCUAACUAUAUAAACAAAGCGAAUUAUAAUACACUUGAAUAAUUUUGAACGAAAGGGAAUACGGUUCCAAUUCCGUAACCUGUUGAGUAUCCGUUUGUUAUUAAAUAUGGGCCUCGUGCUCAUCCUGGCAACAGGAACGACCAUAAAGAAGCCGUCGAGAGAUAUCGGAAGAGUUUUCUUUUCUGUUUUAUAGCCGUACUACCAUGGAAGUCUUUCGCAGAGAGAUAUGGUAGAUGGGCUAGAAGAGCAUGACAUAUACUGUUGUGUCGAUAUUUUCUCCUCGGACCUUGAAAAUUUAUGGUGGGGACACGCAAACUUCUCAACAGGCCGUACCAAUAUCCGCAGCUGGUCUCCAAGGUGAAGAGUCUCUAGUCGAUAGAAUAAUGUAGGUAAGGGAAGUCGGCAAAUUAGAUCCGUAACUUCGGGAUAAGGAUUGGCUCUGAAGAUUGAGAUAGUCGGGCUUGAUUGGGAAACAAUAACAUGGUUUAUGUGCUCGUUCUGGGUAAAUAGAGUUUCUAGCAUUUAUGUUAGUUACUUGUUCCCCGGAUAGUUUAGUUACGUAGCCAAUUGUGGAACUUUCUUGCUAAAAUUUUUAAGAAUACUAUUUGGGUUAAACCAAUUAGUUCUUAUUAAUUAUAACGAUUAUCAAUUAACAAUCAAUUCAGAACUGGCACGGACUUGGGGAAUCCGACUGUCUAAUUAAAACAAAGCAUUGUGAUGGCCCUAGCGGGUGUUGACACAAUGUGAUUUCUGCCCAGUGCUCUGAAUGUCAAAGUGAAGAAAUUCAAGUAAGCGCGGGUCAACGGCGGGAGUAACUAUGACUCUCUUAAGGUAGCCAAAUGCCUCGUCAUCUAAUUAGUGACGCGCAUGAAUGGAUUAACGAGAUUCCUACUGUCCCUAUCUACUAUCUAGCGAAACCACAGCCAAGGGAACGGGCUUGGAAUAAUUAGCGGGGAAAGAAGACCCUUUUGAGCUUGACUCUAAUCUGGCAGUGUAAGGAGACAUAAGAGGUGUAGAAUAAGUGGGAGAUAUUAGACCUCGGUUUGGUAUCGUCAAUGAAAUACCACUACUCUUAUUGUUUCCUUACUUACUUGAUUAAAUGGAACGUGUAUCAUUUCCUAGCCAUUAUACGGAUAUAUUUAUUAUAUCUUAUGGUAUUGGGUUUUGAUGCAAGCUUCUUGAUCAAAGUAUCACGAGUUUGUUAUAUAAUCGCAAACAAAUUCUUUAAUAAAACGAUGCAUUUAUGUAUUUUUGAUUUGAAAAUUUGGUAUAACUCCAAUUACUCAGGUAUGAUCCAAUUCAAGGACAUUGCCAGGUAGGGAGUUUGACUGGGGCGGUACAUCUCUCAAAUAAUAACGGAGGUGUCCCAAGGCCAGCUCAGUGCGGACAGAAACCACACAUAGAGCAAAAGGGCAAAUGCUGACUUGAUCUCGGUGUUCAGUACACACAGGG
rnacentral:rRNA from 1 species